rnacentral:rRNA from 1 species
CCUACGGGAGGCAGCAGUGGGGAAUAUUGCACAAUGGGGGAAACCCUGAUGCAGCAACGCCGCGUGAGCGAUGAAGGCCUUCGGGUCGUAAAGCUCUGUCCUAAGGGAAGAAUACUGACGGUACCUUAGGAGGAAGCCCCGGCUAACUACGUGCCAGCAGCCGCUGUAAUACGUAGGGGGCUAGCGUUAUCCGGAAGUACUGGGCGUAAAGGGUGCGUAGGCGGCCCUUCAAGUCAGAGGUGAAAGGCUACGGCUCAACCGUAGUAAGUCUUUGAAACUGUAGGGCUUGAGUGCAGGAGAGGUGCGGGGAAUUCCCAGUGUCGCGGUGAACUGCGUAGAGAUGGGGAGGAACUGCAGUUGCGAAGGAGGCUCUCUGGACUGUAACUGACGCGGAGGCACGAAAGCGUGGGUAGCGAACAGGAUUAGAUACCCGUGUAGUC